rnacentral:rRNA from 1 species
ACUCACCUACGGGGGGCAGCAGUGAGGAAUAUUGGUCAAUGGUCGGGACACUGAACCAGCCAAGCCGCGUGAGGGAUGAAGGUACAGAGUAUCGAAAACCUCUUUUGUCAGGGAAAAAAGGCGGGGACGGGUCCCCGGAUGAGUGUACCUGAAGAAAAAGCAUCGGCUAACUCCGUGCCAGCAGCCGCGGUAAUACGGAGGAUGCGAGCGUUAUCCGGAUUUAUUGGGUUUAAAGGGUGCGCAGGCGGGCUGUUAAGUCAGCGGUAAA